UCUUUCAAACUUUUCCCUCUGUACUAUCAAACCCUUAUCUCUGAAAUCGGGUUUUCCUCCAUUACCGUCGUUCUUCAUUCCAAUCGGUGAUUUCUUUUGUGUUGCAUAAUUUUGAUAUAAAGCAGCCCGUUCUUUAUUUUGAAUUUAAGCAGUUCAUUCUUUAGGGAACAUUUAGUUGCAAUUGGAGAGAAGGAAUUGGAGAUGUCUCAUUUAUCGUCAAUCGAGGUGACGAGACUACAACAGGAUAUGAAGAGCACAAAAAAGUUAAUGACAAUAUGAAGGAGAAGUUUACGGGAAAAUUUUCGUAGUACAGUAUUGUGAACUGAGAAAAGAGUGCACAUCACAAAAGAUAGCUGACCUGUCACCUUCUCCGAGCCCUAGGUUGAUUGAUGGGAUCUUCUAAACCAAGUUUGAUACUAUAGAUUAGUGAUGUAGGAGUCGCACUUUCGAUGGUUUACAUAUCUGGAUCACCUGUGAUGUAACGUCAAGUUAAUUGUGAAG